GACGAACGCUGGCGGCGUGCUUAACACAUGCAAGUCGAACGGAAAGGCCCUGCUUUUGUGGGGUGCUCGAGUGGCGAACGGGUGAGUAACACGUGAGUAACCUGCCCUUGACUUUGGGAUAACUUCAGGAAACUGGGGCUAAUACCGGAUAGGAGCUCCUGCUGCAUGGUGGGGGUUGGAAAGUUUCGGCGGUUGGGGAUGGACUCGCGGCUUAUCAGCUUGUUGGUGGGGUAGUGGCUUACCAAGGCUUUGACGGGUAGCCGGCCUGAGAGGGUGACCGGCCACAGUGGGACUGAGAUACGGCCCAGACUCCUACGGGAGGCAGCAGUGGGGAAUAUUGCACAAUGGGCGGAAGCCUGAUGCAGCAACGCCGCGUGCGGGAUGACGGCCUUCGGGUUGUAAACCGCUUUCGCCUGUGGCGAAGCGUGAGUGACGGUAAUGGGUAAAGAAGCACCGGCUAACUACGUG
rnacentral:rRNA from 1 species